rnacentral:tRNA from 1 species
UCCUUUGUGGCUCAGCUGGUAAAGUACCCACCUGAAAUGUGGGAGACCUGGGUUUGAUCCCUGGGUUGGGAA